GGCUGUCACUCUCACUCUCAGUCCUUGUCACUAAUGAAGUUGUGCUGAGAGAAUCAGAGGAAGAGUUGUUUGCUUUCAAACCAAAAGCAUCCAGCUUCCUACCCAAAACACUCAUUUCUCUUGGCAGGGGACGAGCACAGGUCACACCGAAUGUUUGAUUUGGACUUAGACCCGUACCAAGCAAGAAUGACAGAGGAAAUGGAAGUCCUCCAUCCUUUUCCUUGUCCCUGUUGUUUAAUGCUGAGAGUGGUGAACCAUACGGUGUCCUCUACAGUCUUCAGACCAAGAACCUGUGGACAAAUUACUAAAUUCAUUAAGCCAAGCAGAUGUGAAUGCAAUGGAUGCCUGGCCCCCAUGUCCCACAACAUAUUAAUAAGGGGAUUAUGGCAAGUGAUGAUGUUAUGCGAAUCCUUGAAGUUCAUCUUUGCCUGGUUUUAAAUAGUGAAUUCAACCUUUACUCAUCUGCAACCAUCCAGCAUGGCUGUUUUACUGUCCCUCCCUGCUCACUCUCCCACCAGCUUUGCUUUUUGUCCCUGAAGCCUAAAUCCUGAUAUGACACAGAGAUUAAAAAUCUCCAGGCUGAUCUCCAUCGGAAGAAAAGUCUACUGGUCUUCACAGGCUUCCAUAAAUCACUAGAUGACCUUCUUUCUUCCAGAAAGGAAAUCGAAGGAGGAGCAUGACAAAUACAUAUUUUUGACUGGUUAAUAUUGAAUUUUAACUACUAGGUGAAUGUAUUGGAAAGACAAGACAGACGUCUUUAGAGGGAUAUUUUUUUCCCAGUGGAAAAUGAUGGUUUGACAAAACUGAGAU